rnacentral:rRNA from 1 species
AACGAACGCUGGCGGCAGGCUUAACACAUGCAAGUCGAGCGCAUCCUUCGGGGUGAGCGGCAGACGGGUGAGUAACGCGUGGGGAUGUGCCUGGUGGUACGGAACAACUCAUGGAAACGUGAGCUAAUACCGUAUAAGCCCUUUUGGGGAAAGAUUUAUCGCCACCAGAUCAACCCGCGUUGGAUUAGCUAGUUGGUGAGGUAACGGCUCACCAAGGCGACGAUCCAUAGCUGGUCUGAGAGGAUGAUCAGCCACACUGGGACUGAGACACGGCCCAGACUCCUACGGGAGGCAGCAGUGGGGAAUAUUGGACAAUGGGCGCAAGCCUGAUCCAGCCAUGCCGCGUGAGUGAUGAAGGCCUUAGGGUUGUAAAGCUCUUUCACUGGGGAAGAUAAUGACGGUACCCAGAGAAGAAGCCCCGGCUAACUUCGUGCCAGCAGCCGCCGUAAGAC